UUUUUUCUCGUUUUCUAGUUCUUUUUUUUAUUUAUUUAAGUUUGAUGGUUUUCCUCUCAACCUUCAAUUGAACUUUCACUGCCUAGUGAUUUGUGAAUCAGAGGUGCUUUGGCUUAGGUGUCUGUUUGUGUGCCAUGCAUGCUCUAUUUACGUUUGAAAAUAUUAGAGAACAAAAUUGAAAGUUCAUAUUUAACAUAUUCCAGUAGCAUCAAAUAUUCAUCAAGAAGUCGUAAAGUUGUUUGAUAGAAAUGAUGCUGGAGUGCAGCUUGAGCGCUUGAACUAACUGCCUUGGAAAGAAAUUGAAGAGUCGAUUAAAAUAACAGCACUAGAUAAUAAGUUGCCUGCUACAGACGCCAGGACAUUUUGUAUAACCAUCACGUCAUGUUAACUGUCACUUAUGCCAGAGCGUCAGCCCAGUGCUUCCGAUCAUCAAAGGUCGCUCAGUAAAUACGAUUUUUCUAAAUAUCUCGAUUCAAGCGUCGCCUAACGUGAAAUGCUUAGAAGAAAUUUGCUUUUCUAUUUUCGAUAGAAUCCACAGUAUUUUUGCGUAGAACUUCUUUUCGCUUCAAAAAAAUAACCCUCAUCAGUCCAACUCCGGCUACGCAAUCCACCGUAUUUUUGCGUAGAACUCUUCUAAAAAAAACGAACAGCUGCGAAGAAUUAUUAACAAAAGAAAUGAAUUAAGUCACACUACAUAUUUAAAAAGAAUUCCAAAUAAUAUUGUAAUUGGCUAAACUAAAAUAUUGUUAUCGCUUAAACAUCAUAUGUAUAUUUAUGGAAUAAAUGUUUAUUUUGUUAC